rnacentral:rRNA from 1 species
AAACGACUGCUAAUACCUGAUGUGCCGAGAGGUGAAACAUUUAUGGCCUGUGGAUGAGCUCGCGUCUGAUUAGCUAGUUGGUGGGGUAAGAGCUCACCAAGGCGACGAUCAGUAGCUGGUCUGAGAGGAUGAUCAGCCACACUGGAACUGAGACACGGUCCAGACUCCUACGGGAGGCAGCAGUGGGGAAUUUUCCGCAAUGGGCGAAAGCCUGACGGAGCAAGACCGCGUGGGGGAUGAAGGUUUGUGGAUUGUAAACCCCUUUUGAUUGGGAAGAAUAACUGACGGUACCAAUCGAAUAAGCCUCGGCUAACUCCGUGCCAGCAGCCGCGGUAAUACGGAGGAGGCAAGCGUUAUCCGGAAUUAUUGGGCGUAAAGCGUCCGUAGGUGGUUUAGUAAGUCUGCUGUUAAAGCGCGGGGCUUAACUCCGUAUCGGCAGUGGAAACUACUAGACUAGAGUGUGGUAGGGGUAGAGGGAAUUCCCAGUGUAGCGGUGAAAUGCGUAGAUAUUGGGAAGAACC